GACGAACGCUGGCGGCGUGCUUAACACAUGCAAGUCGAGCGGUAAGGCCCUUUCGGGGGUACACGAGCGGCGAACGGGUGAGUAACACGUGGGUGACCUGCCCUCAGCUCUGGGAUAAGCCUGGGAAACCGGGUCUAAUACCGGAUAUGACUCCAUGACGCAUGUUGUGGGGUGGAAAGCCUUGUGCGGCUGAGGAUGGGCCCGCGGCCUAUCAGCUUGUUGGUGGGGUGANGGCCUACCAAGGCGACGACGGGUAGCCGGCCUGAGAGGGCGACCGGCCACACUGGGACUGAGACACGGCCCAGACUCCUACGGGAGGCAGCAGUGGGGAAUCUUGUCGCAAUGGGCGAAAGCCUGACGCAGCGACGCCGCGUGAGGGAUGACGGCCUCGGUU
rnacentral:rRNA from 1 species